GGGCGCAUGGUGAAGUGGAUUAUCACUAGGAGCUUCUACCUCCUCAUCCCUGGUUCGAAUCCAGGUGCGCCUG
rnacentral:tRNA from 2 species